rnacentral:tRNA from 1 species
CAAGGCAUAGCUUAAAUGACAAAGCACUUAGUUUACACCUAAGAGAUAUCUGUUACCCACCCAGAUCGCCUUGA